AGUAAAGUCAGCUAAUAAAGCUCCUGGGCCCAUACCCCAAACAUGUUGGUUAAAAUCCUUCCUUCACUA
rnacentral:tRNA from 1 species